rnacentral:rRNA from 1 species
AGCGAACGCUGGCGGCAGGCCUAACACAUGCAAGUCGAACGGAUCCUUCGGGAUUAGUGGCGGACGGGUGAGUAACACGUGGGAACGUGCCCUUUGGUUCGGAACAACUCAGGGAAACUUGAGCUAAUACCGGAUGUGCCCUGCGGGGAAAAGAUUUAUCGCCAUGGGAGCGGCCCGCGUCUGAUUAGCCAGUCGGUGAGGUAACGGCCCACCAAGGCGACGAUCAGUAGCGGGUCUGAGAGGAUGAUCAGCCACACUGGGACUGAGACACGGCCCAGACUCCUACGGGAGGCAGCAGUGGGGAAUCUUGCGCAAUGGGCGAAAGCCUGACGCAGCCAUGCCGCGUGAAUGAUGAAGGUCUUAGGAUUGUAAAAUUCUUUCAGCGGGGACGAUAAUGACGGUACCCGCAGAAGAAGCUCCGGCUAACUUCGUG